AAAAGGACCACUACUAUACAACCGUCGCCCACACCACCACCCAUAGAUCCGUCCCCGCCAAAACACCACCACAAGCAUCACCAACAACAAAAACGAUCACCACCACACUACUACACAAUUGUCGUGUGCACAUCAGAUAACCACCACACAUAGAUCCGCCCCUGCCAACAACAACAAAAGCGAUCACCACUACGCAACUGUCGCCUGCACCACACCACCACACACAGAUUCGUCUCCGAUACCACCACUGCCAACAACAACAAAAUGAUCACCACCACACAACUGUCGCCUACACCACACUACUAUACAAACAUCUCCUAUACCACACCACCACACACAGAUUCACCCCCCGCACAACACAAUUAUAACUACCUCCAGCAACAACAAAAUUAUCACCACCACACAACCGCUGUCUACACCACACCACCGCACAACCGUCGCCUGAACAUCAGAUAACCACCCACAGAUUAGAAUACCUACACCACCACCACCUUAUCAAACAUUGAAAUCCCAUACAUGGGCUGACCAUCGGCUUCAACUCAGAAUUGUGAAUUGGUAUUGCUUGAACCAGGCAUAUCGGAGCAUGUCGUCACUGUCAACAUAUCCAUGCAGAAGCCAGGCAGAUGCAACAGCACCGACGAAACCACGAAUCGUCACGAUUUGUGUGUACUGGCGAAACCACGGAUCCAAGCGCAGAGGUGUCAACACUGGAAUUGUGCGCAGCUUGCUGCUCCCAAUGACAAGCUCCGGUGUGGUCUUUGGCUACGGCGGCCAUGUGUGACAGAGAGGAUAGAGAGAUAGAAAGAGAGGAUGGGAAGAAGAGGGAAAAUAGGGGAGAAAAAAUUAUUAGGCCUUUAAUUGGGUGGAUGGAAUAGGGUGAGAGUGUAUAAUUGAAAUUUAUUAAUAUUAUUAUAUAUAUUAAAAUAUAAAAUUGUUACCUGUUUUUUGCAUAAAUAAACUUUGAACAUUAUUUUUGAGAUUCAAUCUUUAAACACGUAAUUUUCCCCCACAUCUGUCCCCUGGUUUCUAGUCCAUAUUGUGGUGUUGCCUUUGUGGAGUAGGCUAUCAACUGAGCCCAUAAAAAAAACCUCACAAACGGAAUUCAAUUGGAGUUUAUGGAUUGAUUAUUUACUUGCCUCAUGUUUUUUGCAUUUGAUUUCAUAUAAUAUUGUUUUAACUUGAAUUAUCUUUGUGGUUUUGCCAGGUAAACUUCACAAGAACGUUAACGUUAAUUUGAAUAAUAUCUUGUUUGGUGGCGAACUAAAUGAGCCUCGUUACAUGGCCCAUGUGUCCUUUCUUUUUCUGUCUCAACUGUUAUUCAAUCUGUUUCAGGAUUCCAGAAUCACACAGGUUAGUUGCUGUGGUAGACCUCUCCAAUAAAGUAUCUUAGCCUGAAAUAGUAUCAGUUGGCACGAUAUUGCCUGAAUUUGUGGAGAAGGGGCCACCAUGUGGGCUUAUUCUAGCAUGGAAGAUGAUGCGCAGCCGGGGAUUUUUUCUUUGCUGUGCAAUUACUCCUACUUGCAAUAAACUUGGCAUCGUAAUUGCGAUCCCAAUUACUGUCAUGGAAUUC
rnacentral:lncRNA from 1 species